rnacentral:rRNA from 1 species
GACGUAGGAGGCGAGCGUUGUCCGGAUUCAUUGGGCGUAAAGAGCACGCAGGCGGUUUGGCAAGUCGGAUGUGAAAACCCGGAGCUCAACUCCGGACCUGCAUCCGAAACUGCCCGACUAGAGGUAGGUAGGGGAGAUCGGAAUUCCUGGUGUAGCGGUGAAAUGCGCAGAUAUCAGGAGGAACACCGGUGGCGAAGGCGGGUCUCUGGGCAGUAACUGACGCUGAGGCGCGAAAGCUAGGGGAGCGAACAGG